UCCUUCGUGGUGCAACGGUAACACACUCGGCGCAUAAUCGAGAGGUCCAGAUUCGACUCCCGGCGAGGGCA
rfam:Stegodyphus mimosarum contig37443, whole genome shotgun sequence.